rnacentral:lncRNA from 1 species
GUCUGGGCGGUGACGUUUGGUCUGAGCUGACCUUUCCUCACAAUCGUGAAUUUGGGCUGUGAGGAUCAGGCCUUGUCAGAACCCGAGAUGAGAGGAGAGAGAUUUCUGGUUCAGUAAGGGUGAGAGCCAGGCUCCAGACUAUAGUGAAUUUUCCGAGGAGAUAUGUGUGGGUCCUGAAUACCAUCCCAAGUGUCCUUAUAAGAGAGAGGCAAAAGAGGCAAUAGAGACACAGAAAAGAAAGCCAUGUGAAGAUGGAGCAGAGAGAUAUAUGGCCACAAGCCAAGGAAUGCUGACAGCUGCCAGAAGCUGGAAGAAGGCAAGGAAUGGACUCUCCCCUACAGCCUCCAGAGGCAAUGCAGCCCUGCCAACACUUUGAUUUUAGACUUCUGGCCUAUAGAACUGAGAAAGAAUAAAUUUCUGUUCUUUUCAGCUACUAAGUUUGUGAUCACUUGGUGCAGCAUUUACAGGAAACAAAUACACCUCUCCUUCUAGAACUCCAAUUAUGUGAACAUUAGACCAUCUAAUAUUGCCCCACAUGUUCCUGAGGCUCUCUGUUCAUUUUCUUUUUAAUCUAUUUUUCUCUGUUCUUCAGAUUGGACAAUUGCUCUCUUUUUUGUUUGUUUGUUUUUUUGAGAUGGAGUUUCGCUCUUGUCGCCCAGG